UUUUAAUGAGAGUUUGAUCCUGGCUCAGGACGAACGCUGGCGGCGUGCCUAAUACAUGCAAGUAGAACGCUGAUGUUUGGUGUUUACACUAGACUGAUGAGUUGCGAACGGGUGAGUAACGCGUAGGUAACCUGCCUCAUAGCGGGGGAUAACUAUUGGAAACGAUAGCUAAUACCGCAUAAGAGUGAUUAACACAUGUUAGUUAUUUAAAAGGAGCAAUUGCUUCACUGUGAGAUGGACCUGCGUUGUAUUAGCUAGUUGGUGAGGUAAAGGCUCACCAAGGCGACGAUACAUAGCCGACCUGAGAGGGUGAUCGGCCACACUGGGACUGAGACACGGCCCAGACUCCUACGGGAG
rnacentral:rRNA from 1 species